CACGGAAGUUAGCCGAUGCUUAUUCCUCAGAUACCGUCAUUGUGUUCUUCUCUGAGAAAAGGAGUUUACGACCCACGGGCCUUCCUCCUCCACGCGGUAUUGCUCCGUCAGGCUUUCCCCCAUUGUCUAAGAUUCCCCA
rnacentral:rRNA from 1 species